UACAGAGGGUGCAAGCGUUACUCGGAAUUACUGGGCGUAAAGCGCGUGUAGGCGGUCGUGCAAGUCGGGUGUGAAAGCCCUGGGCUCAACCCAGGAAGUGCAUUCGAUACUGCGCGACUGGAGUCCCGGAGAGGAUGGUGGAACUCUCGGUGUAGAGGUGAAAUUCGUAGAUAUCGAGAAGAACACCGGUGGCGAAGGCGGCCAUCUGGACGGUGACUGACGCUGAGACGCGAAAGCGUGGGGAGCAAACAGG
rnacentral:rRNA from 1 species